AGCGAACGCUGGCGGCAUGCCUAACACAUGCAAGUCGAACGAACCUUUCGGGGUUAGUGGCGGACGGGUGAGUAACACGUGGGAACGUGCCUUUAGGUUCGGAAUAACUCAGGGAAACUUGUGCUAAUACCGAAUGUGCCCUUCGGGGGAAAGAUUUAUCGCCUUUAGAGCGGCCCGCGUCUGAUUAGCUAGUUGGUUGAGGUAAUGGCUCACCAAGGCGACGAUCAGUAGCUGGUCUGAGAGGAUGAUCAGCCACAUUGGGACUGAGACACGGCCCAAACUCCUACGGGAGGCAGCAGUGGGGAAUCUUGCGAAAUGGGCGAAAGCCUGACGCAGCCAGGCCGCGUGAAUGAUGAAGGUCUUAGGAUUGUAAAAUUCUUUCACCGGGGACGAUAAUGACGGUACCCGGAGAAGAAGCCCCGGCUAACUUCGUG
rnacentral:rRNA from 1 species